UGGACCUGAUAAUAUUUCUGUGUUCAGGAGAGACAUUAGGACAAAUAACUAUUUAGAAAGUUACCAUUCAUUGUUAUUGCAAAUUAUGAAGCCUCAUCCUAAAGUAUGGGAGUUUAUUAAUCAAUUGAGGUUUUUAGAAAAUAAAGCGAGGUUGAAUUUAAGCAAGCUCGGAGCAACCUCAGAAUCCGUGUUGGUGUUUCAACAAGAACAAGGGAAUCCAAUACAAGAGCAAUUGAAGAAUAAAUAGAAGAAAUGACACAUGACUAUACAGAAGGACGAAUUCAAAGAUUUUACGGAGAGCUGGUCAUCAAGUCGAUGGGUAUAUAACUCGAGAAAUUGGCAAUUA